AAGGUUAGGCUACGCUUCUGUCGAGUCUGAUGGAGCACGCCGCGUGAGCGAUGAAGGCCUUCGGGUCGUAAAGCUCUGUUGUUAGGGAAGAACAAGUACCGGAGUAACUGCCGGUACCUUGACGGUACCUAACCAGAAAGCCACGGCUAACUACGUGCCAGCAGCCGCGGUAAUACGUAGGUGGCAAGCGUUGUCCGGAAUUAUUGGGCGUAAAGCGCGCGCAGGCGGUCCUUUAAGUCUGAUGUGAAAGCCCACGGCUCAACCGUGGAGGGUCAUUGGAAACUGGGGGACUUGAGUGCAGAAGAGGAAAGCGGAAUUCCACGUGUAGCGGUGAAAUGCGUAGAGAUGUGGAGGAACACCAGUGGCGAAGGCGGCUUUCUGGUCUGUAACUGACGCUGAGGCGCGAAAGCGUGGGGAGCAAACAGGAUUAGAUACCCCGGUAGUCA
rnacentral:rRNA from 2 species